rnacentral:rRNA from 1 species
UCUCCGUUGGUGAACCAGCGGAGGGAUCAUUACCGAGUUUACAACUCCCAAACCCAAUGUGAACGUUACCAAUCUGUUGCCUCGGCGGGAUUCUCUGCCCCGGGCGCGUCGCAGCCCCGGAUCCCAUGGCGCCCGCCGGAGGACCAACUCAAACUCUUUUUUCUCUCCGUCGCGGCCUACGUCGCGGCUCUGUUUUAUUUUUGCUCUGAGCCUUUCUCGGCGACCCUAGCGGGCGUCUCGAAAAUGAAUCAAAACUUUCAACAACGGAUCUCUUGGUUCUGGCAUCGAUGAAGAACGCAGCGAAAUGCGAUAAGUAAUGUGAAUUGCAGAAUUCAGUGAAUCAUCGAAUCUUUGAACGCACAUUGCGCCCGCCAGUAUUCUGGCGGGCAUGCCUGUCCGAGCGUCAUUUCAACCCUCGAACCCCUCCGGGGGGUCGGCGUUGGGGAUCGGCCCCUCACCGGGCCGCCCCCGAAAUACAGUGGCGGUCUCGCCGCAGCCUCUCCUGCGCAGUAGUUUGCACACUCGCACCGGGAGCGCGGCGCGGCCACAGCCGUAAAACACCCCAAACUCUGAAAUGUUGACCUCGGAUCAGGUAGGAAUACCCGCUGAACUUAAGCAUAUCAAUAAGCGGG